rnacentral:rRNA from 1 species
CGAACGGUAACGCGGGGGCAACCCUGGCGACGAGUGGCGGACGGGUGAGGAAUGCUUGGGAAUCUGCCUGUUAGUGGGGGACAACCCGGGGAAACUCGGGCUAAUACCGCAUACGCUCUACGGAGGAAAGCGGGGGCUCUUCGGACCUCGCGCUAUGAGAUGAGCCUGCGUUAGAUUAGCUAGUUGGUAGGGUAAAGGCCUACCAAGGCGACGAUCUAUAGCAGGUCUGAGAGGAUGAUCAGCCACACUGGGACUGAGACACGGCCCAGACUCCUACGGGAGGCAGCAGUGGGGAAUAUUGCGCAAUGGGGGCAACCCUGACGCAGCCAUGCCGCGUGUGUGAAGAAGGCCUUCGGGUUGUAAAGCACUUUAAGUGGGGAGAAAAGGGUAGCUGUUAAUAGCGGUUACCUGUGAUGUUACCCACAGAAUAAGCACCGGCUAACCCCGUGCCAGCAGCCGCGGUAAUACGGAGGGUGCGAGCGUUAAUCGGAAUUACUGGGCGUAAAGCGCGCGUAGGCGGUUUGUUAAGUCAGCUGUGAA